AAAAAUUUCAAAAAUUCAUUUGAGCCCCCCUUUAAAAAAAAACUGAAAAUCCUUUCUCCUUUUUCCCUCAAGCUUUUGGGCCGACCAUAGCUCCGGCGCCGGGCCACCAUGAUGGUCACCGGUCACCGGUGGUGGCGCCACCGUACACGGUGGCCGGAGUUUAUCCAAAGCCACCAACUUGAGCGCUCUAACGCUCAAAGUCCCGAUUCGAGUCUAUUUUCAUGAAAACUCAACCCAAAAAAAGGAAAAGACAAGAAACCUUUCGAAUUUUCGUCCUCUUUACUGAGAACGACUAUUCAUCAUCGGGAACGGAGACCUCCCCCACUUCGCGUGUUGAAACCUCAGGUAAACUUUUACCCCUUUUUUAUUUUAAAACUAUUUCUUUAAACAGAAUGAAAAUAUUGAAAAAAAAAACACCUUUUGAAACUUUUUGCUUUCGAUUCUCUGAUAUCUCGUGUAAUACAACGUUCUUUGUAUUUAAAAAAAUCCCCCCAUUUACAUUCUUGGUUUCAGGCUUUUAUAGCCGAGAACAUACAUUGUUUAUUAUUUGCCUACUAUUCCUUUUGUUGUUUCUUGCUCUGUUGUCUGUCGUGUUUCUUCUUUUGUCCUUUUUACAGGUGCGCAAAGGGGUCAAUGGAGGCGGAUAUUCUGGGUUUUUGUCGUUUUGGCACGAGGAGGGCAGGCCUCGGGCGUUGAACGUGCUGGUGAGGUAUGUGGGAAGCGGCGCAAGGCUGCUAGGGUUCUUGACCCUUUUUCCUUUGCUGAAAAUGUUCAGCUUUGGACCAUUUUGGGCUUGUCCUAGUUUUGGGUCAAAUUGUAAAAUUUUGGGCUUGUAUAGACUGUUAAAAACUUGGACUUUAUUUGGUUGUAUUUCUUAAUAAUGGGCCGGGCAAAUUUGGGCCCAUACAAUAAUUAUAUGAACAUAUCAUUUAAAUUAAGAGAUUAUUUAAUAUAUUUACCAAAUUUACUAAUACUUUAAUUUACUAUAUUAUUGCUUCACUCUUUAACAUAGAUUGUUGUAAUUCACUUACCAUUUACUUUCUUUAACACUUAUUUCAUUAAUCACAUA
rnacentral:lncRNA from 1 species